rnacentral:rRNA from 1 species
CGCCGGAGGCCAUUGCUAUCAGGGUUUGACUAAGCCAUGCGAGUCGAGAGGUGUAAGACCUCGGCAUACUGCUCAGUAACACGUGGUUAACCUGCCCUAAGGUGGAGAAUACUCCCGGGAAACUGGGGCUAAUGCUCCAUAGUGGAUAUGUCCUGGAAUGGUAUAUCCUCGAAAGAUCCGUCGCCUUAGGAUGGGACUGCGUCCGAUUAGGUUGUUGGCGGGGUAACGGCCCACCAAGCCUUUUAUCGGUACGGGUUGUGGGAGCAAGAUCCCGGAGAUGGAUUCUGAGACAUGAAUCCAGGCCCUACGGGGCGCAGCAGGCGCGCAAACUUUACAAUGCGAGCAAUCGUGAUAAGGAAACCCUGAGUGCCUGUCGAUGCAGGCUGUUCAUAUAUCUAAAUCAUAUGUGAAGAAAGGGCAGGGCAAGACCGGUGCCAGCCGCCGCGGUAAUACCGGCUGCUCGAGUGAUGGCCACUAUUACUGGGUUUAAAGCGUCCGUAGCUUGACUGUUAGGUCUCUUGGGAAAUCUUCGCGCUCAACGUGAAGGCGUCUAAGAGAUACCGGCAGUCUUGGAACUGGGAGAGGUAAACCGUACUUCGGGGGUAGGAGUGAAAUCUUGUAAUCCUCGAGGGACGACCUAUGGCGAAGGCAGUUUACCAGAACAGCUUCGACAGUGAGGGACGAAAGCUG